GGCGUGACUCAGUGGUAGUGCAUAUGCUUUGCAUGUAGUAAGGUCCCAGGUACAAGCCCUGCCAUCUCCA